rnacentral:rRNA from 1 species
CCUACGGGAGGCAGCAGUGAGGAAUAUUGGUCAAUGGACGAGAGUCUGAACCAGCCAAGUAGCGUGAAGGAUGACUGCCCUAUGGGUUGUAAACUUCUUUUAUAUGGGAAUAAAAUGUUCCACGUGUGGGAUUUUGUAUGUACCAUAUGAAUAAGGAUCGGCUAACUCCGUGCCAGCAGCCGCGGUAAUACGGAGGAUCCGAGCGUUAUCCGGAUUUAUUGGGUUUAAAGGGAGCGUAGGUGGAUUGUUAAGUCAGUUGUGAAAGUUUGCGGCUCAACCGUAAAAUUGCAGUUGAAACUGGCAGUCUUGAGUACAGUAGAGGUAGGCGGAAUGCGUGGUGUAGCGGUGAAAUGCUUAGAUAUCACGAAGAACUCCGAUUGCGAAGGCAGUUCACUGGACUGCAACUGACACUGAGGCUCGAAAGUGUGGGUAUCAAACAGGAUUAGAUACCCUAGUAGUC